AUUGAACGCUGGCGGCAGGCCUAACACAUGCAAGUCGAGCGGAUGAAGGGAGCUUGCUCCUGGAUUCAGCGGCGGACGGGUGAGUAAUGCCUAGGAAUCUGCCUGGUAGUGGGGGAUAACGUCCGGAAACGGGCGCUAAUACCGCAUACGUCCUGAGGGAGAAAGUGGGGGAUCUUCGGACCUCACGCUAUCAUAUGAGCCUAGGUCGGAUUAGCUAGUUGGUGGGGUAAAGGCCUACCAAGGCGACGAUCCGUAACUGGUCUGAGAGGAUGAUCAGUCACACUGGAACUGAGACACGGUCCAGACUCCUACGGGAGGCAGCAGUGGGGAAUAUUGGACAAUGGGCGAAAGCCUGAUCCAGCCAUGCCGCGUGUGUGAAGAAGGUCUUCGGAUUGUAAAGCACUUUAAGUUGGGAGGAAGGGCAGUAAGUUAAUACCUUGCUGUUUUGACGGUACCAACAGAAUAAGCACCGGCUAACUUCGUG
rnacentral:rRNA from 1 species